CGAGAGGGAGAUUAAUCCCGAAUAACAUAUUUUGGUUUCCUGAUUAUAAUAUGAAAGCUCCGGCGAUGAAGGAUGGGGAUGCGUUCCAUUAGGUAGUAGGCGGGGUAACGGCCCACCUAGCCGACGAUGGAUAGGGGUUCUGAGAGGAAGGUCCCCCACACUGGAACUGAGACACGGUCCAGACUCCUACGGGAGGCAGCAGUGAGGAAUAUUGGUCAAUGGGCGCAAGCCUGAACCAGCCAAGUAGCGUGAAGGAUGACUGCCCUAUGGGUUGUAAACUUCUUUUAUACGGGAACAAAUGUGGGUACGUGUACCUAUUUGCGUGUACCGUAUGAAUAAGCAUCGGCUAACUCCGUGCCAGCAGCCGCGGUAAUACGGAGGAUGCGAGCGUUAUCCGGAUUUAUUGGGUUUAAAGGGAGCGUAGGUGGUCUGUUAAGCCAGCUGUGAAAUACUGUAGCUCAACUACAGCCGUGCAGUUGGAACUGGCGGACUUGAGUGCACAAGAGGAAGGUGGAAUUCAUGGUGUAGCGGUGAAAUGUUUAGAUAUCAUGAAGAACUCCGAUUGCGAAGGCAGCCUUCUGGGGUGCAACUGACACUGAUGCUCGAAAGUGUGGGUAUCGAACAGGAUUAGAUACCCUGGUAGUCCACACAGUAAACUAUGGAUACUCGCUGCCGGCGAUACACAGUCGGUGGCUUAGCGAAAGCGUUAAGUAUCCCACCUGGGGAGUACGCCGGCAACGGUGAAACUCAAAGGAAUUGACGGGGGCCCGCACAAGCGGAGGAACAUGUGGUUUAAUUCGAUGAUACGCGAGGAACCUUACCCAGGCUCGAACGGCAAUCUGAAUGUUAGUAGAGAUACUUUCAGUCUUCGGACAGGUUGUCGAGGUGCUGCAUGGUUGUCGUCAGCUCGUGCCGUGAGGUGUCGGCUUAAGUGCCAUAACGAGCGCAACCCUUGCUGUCAGUUGCCAUCGGGUCAUGCCGGGCACUCUGGCGGGACUGCCAUCGCAAGAUGUGAGGAAGGUGGGGAUGACGUCAAAUCAGCACGGCCCUUACGUCUGGGGCUACACACGUGUUACAAUGGGGAGUACAGAGGGAUGCCACCUGGCGACAGGGCGCUGAUCCCGAAAUCUCUUCUCAGUUU
rnacentral:rRNA from 1 species